rnacentral:rRNA from 1 species
UACGUAGGGGGCGAGCGUUGUCCGGAGUUACUGGGCGUAAAGCGCACGCAGGCGGUCGCGUAAGAGUGCGGGGACAGUGGGCGGCUUAACUGCCCAAGGGUCGCACAGACUGCGUGACUGGAGGGCCAGAGAGGGACCUGGAAUUCCGGGUGGAGCGGUGAAAUGCGUAGAUAUCUGGAGGAACACCGGUGGCGAAGGCGGCAUCCUGGACCAACACUGACGCUGAGGAGCGAAAGCCAGGGGAGCAAACGGG